rnacentral:rRNA from 1 species
AUUGAACGCUGGCGGCAUGCCUUACACAUGCAAGUCGAACAGCAGCACGGGAGCAAUCCUGGUGGCGAGUGGCGAACGGGUGAGUAAAGUAUCGGAACGUGCCCAGUCGUGGGGGAUAACGUAGCGAAAGUUACGCUAAUACCGCAUACGAUCUAUGGAUGAAAGCGGGGGAUCGCAAGAACUCGCGCGAUUGGAGCGGCGGAUAUCAGAUUAGGUAGUUGGUGGGGUAAAGGCUCACCAAGCCGACGAUCUGUAGCUGGUCUGAGAGGACGACCGGCCACACUGGGACUGAGACACGGCCCAGCCUCCUACGGGAGGCAGCAGUGGGGAAUUUUGGACAAUGGGCGAAAGCCUGAUCCAGCCAUGCCGCGUGCAGGAUGAAGGCCUUCGGGUUGUAAACUGCUUUUGUACGGAACGAAAAGGUUUGGCCUAAUAAGCUGAGCUCAUGACGGUACCGUAAGAAUAAGCACCGGCUAACUACGUGCCAGCCGCCGCCGUAA